CAGCACCUCAAGUGGUCAGGAUGAUUAUUGGGCCUAAAGCAUCCGUAGCCUGCUCUGUAAGUUUUCGGUUAAAUCUGUAUGCUCAACAUACAGGCUGCCGGGAAUACUGCAGAGCUAGGGAGUGGGAGAGGUAGACGGUACUCGGGAGGAAGUGGUAAAAUGCUUUGAUCUCUCGAUGACCACCUGUGGCGAAGGCGGUCUACCAGAACACGUCCGACGGUGAGGGAUGAAAGCUGGGGGAGCAAACCGGAUUAGAUACCCGGGUAGUCCCAGCUGUAAACUAUGCAAACUCAGUGAUGCAUUGGCUUGUGGCCAAUGCAGUGUUGCAGGGAAGCCGUUAAGUUUGCCGCCUGGGAAGUACGUACGCAAGUAUGAAACUUAAAGGAAUUGGCGGGGGAGCACCACAAGGGGUGAAGCCUGCGGUUCAAUUGGAGUCAACGCCAGAAAUCUUACCCGGAGAGACAGCAGAAUGAAGGUCAAGCUGAAGACUUUACCAGACAAGCUGAGAGGUGGUGCAUGGCCGUCGCCAGCUCGUGCCGUGAGAUGUCCUGUUAAGUCAGGUAACGAGCGAGAUCCCUGCCUCUAGUUGCCACCAUUACUCUCAGGAGUAGUGGGGCGAAUUAGCGGGACCGCCGCAGUUAAUGCGGAGGAAGGAAGGGGCCACGGCAGGUCAGUAUGCCCCGAAACUCUGGGGCCACACGCGGGCUGCAAUGGUAAUGACAAUAGGUUCCGAAUCCGAAAGGAUGAGGUAAUCCCUAAACAUUACCACAGUUAUGACUGAGGGCUGCAACUCGCCCUCACGAAUAUGGAAUCCCUAGUAACUGCGUGUCAUUAUCGCGCGGUGAAUACGUCCCUGCUCCUU
rnacentral:rRNA from 1 species